AGACUUUCUGACAAGAUCAUUUUUGUGUUUAUGAACUUUUUUCUACUCUCUAUUUAUCAUUUAGAAUAAAACUAAAUAAGAAAUUCUUCAUAUAAAGAAUGAGGAGAAACCAGUAACAGUGGCAAACUGAUCUAAACAGUCCUGUCCCAGGUUUACGAUGCUGACUUUGGAAGAGUGCGGCUUUAAAGUGUUUUUUCAUUUUCUGAACAAGUAGGAUCGUGGGCUGUCUGCUCACAAGCAGGUAGGAACCAGGCGGGUGGCUAUGGCUGAACUACUUCAGUCUGCGUGCUCAGGCAUUGUUGGGAAUAGCUCGUUCGAGGUGAGAAGAGGUCAAAGGUCAAGAUGGAAUACAAGAUCAUUGUAAUAGAACCACAGCAGACCCGACGACAUGGACCUGCUUUUCAGCUUACUUUAUUCAACACUUUCAUUAACGGUUGUUCUACACACACAGUCGGCUGCAGCUCACAGCCCGACACAUACCAACAACAACCACCAUUUGACAGCUGGCUUACCUUUUAAGCCAGCAAGGCGUGAUUGCAGAUCCCGCCCAUUUGCGUCCACCUCUCCUGCAGCAGCACCGUAGACCACGCCCCGCCACAAUGAUUUUGACAGCUUUAAUCAUUCACUCGAUCUUUAUUGUUUCUCACGUCAAUGUUUGAAUUUCAGCAACAUUUUUUUUAAUUAUUUUUUUUUCUCUCAUCUUGACAAUAAAGUAGCUGAGCAUCCCUCAGGUGUGCUCCAGCACAUGAAAUCCCUUAAUACCUCUCUCCAUUACAAAGGCA